UGAGGAACAUGACUUUCGGUGGGGGAGUAGCCGGCCCAACGGCCGGGUAAUACCGCGUACGACCAUUUGGGGACAUCCCCGAGUGGUGAAAGCAGCAAUGCGCCGAAAGAGUGCCUCGCGGCCUAUCAGCUAGUUGGUGAGGUAAUGGCUCACCAAGGCGACGACGGGUAGCCGGCCUGAGAGGGUGACCGGCCACACUGGGACUGAGACACGGCCCAGACUCCUACGGGGAGCAG
rnacentral:rRNA from 1 species